UCACGAGGUCAGGAGUUCAAGACCAGCCUGGCCAAUAUGGUGAAACCCCGUCUCUACUAAAAAUACUAAAUUAUCUAGGAAUGGUAGCAUGCAUCUGUAAUCCCAGCUACUCGGGAGGCUGAGGCAGGAGAAUUGCUUGAACCCGGGAGGCGGAGGUUGCAGUGAGCUGAGAUCACAUCAUUGCAUUCCAUCCAGUCUAGGUGACACAAGCGAGACUCUGUCUCAAAAAAAGAAGUUAAAAAAAAUAGGCAAAAAAGCUGCAUAAACAUUUCUUUAAAGAAGCUAACACAAAUGACUUAGGAGCAUGUAAGAUGCUCAACACCGUUAAUCAUCAGGGAAAUGCCAAACUCGCCCACAAGAAAGUACCACUGCAGACCCCCUCGAAUGGCUGGAACAAUAAUACAAAGCGUUGGGGAGGAUGUGGAGAACUAUGUUGGCCUGGAAGAGGCGCUCCUCACUUCCCAGACUGGGCCCCCGGGCAGAGGGGCUCCUCACAUCCCAGACGGGGUGGUGGCUGGGCAGAGGCUGCAAUCUCAGCACUUUAGGAGGCCAAGGCAGGCGGCUGGGAGGUGGAGGUUGUAGCUAGCCGAGAUCACGCCACUGCACUCCAGCCUGAGCUCCGUUGAGCACUGAGUUAACGAGACUCCGUCUGCAAUCCCGGCACCUCGGGAGGCCGAGGCUGGCAGAUCACUCGCGGUUAGGAGCUGGAGACCAGCCCGGCCGACACAGCAAAACCCCGUCUCCACCAAAAAAAUACGAAAACCAGUCAGGCGGGGCGGCACGCGCCUGCAAUCGCAGGCACUCGGCAGGCUGAGGCAAGAGAAUCAGGCAGGGAGGUUGCAGUGAGCUGAGAUGGCAGCGGUACCGUCCAGCUUCGGCUCGGCAUCAGAGGGAGACCGUGGAAAGAGAGGGAGAGGGAGACCGUGGGGAGAGGGAGAGGGAGAGGGAGACGGAGCCUUCUCACUUUUUCUAUUGAUAUGAUGAUAUCGCUUUUUCAAAUGGUUUAACAAUUAUGUGGGAUGAGAGGAAAUUUGUAAGUUUUUAGGGAAGGUUAUAUCUAGGGAAGAAAUCAGGUUAUGAAAAGAAUGUGGAAAAACAUUAUCAUUCAAAAACCCAAAUAUGGACAAUUUAUUAUUACAUAAAACUAAACAUUUGUGUCCCCUGUGGUCAAAAUACAUUCAUAAAAUUUCUGCAGAAAUAAUAAAUAUAGAAAAAUAAAUAGGCAUUAUUCACCUUUGGCUUCUCUAGUUACCUGGCAAUUGACGUUAUUGCUUACUNNNNNNNNNNUCAGGCUGGAGUGCAGUGGUGUGAUCACAGCUCACUGUAGCCUCAGUCUCUCGGGCUCAAGCCAUCCUCCCACCUCAGCCUCCCAAGUAGCUGGGACCACAGGCUUGUGCCACCAUGCCUGGCUAAUUUUUUAAUUUUUUUUUUUUUUUGUAGAAAUGAGGGCUCACUAUGUUGCCCAGACUGGUCUUAUUCUUUAUCUUCUUUAUCUACUUAUUCUUUAUCUUCUUGAUCUAUGAAUUUCUGAAAGAGAAUUUAUAAUGUCUAACUCUUAUAUGGUACCUGCUAUAUUCCAGGCCCUGCUUUAACUUACUGUAUAUGGGUCAUUUUUUCCUUAGAGAUCUGUGAUGUAUACUUUUUAGAUUUUGAGACUGGGUAUGUUGGUUACUUUGUACGUAACAGUUGGUGAUGGAAGUCUUU
rnacentral:lncRNA from 1 species